rnacentral:rRNA from 1 species
GAUGAACGCUGGCGGCGUGCCUAAUACAUGCAAGUCGAGCGAACGGACGAGAAGCUUGCUUCUCUGAUGUUAGCGGCGGACGGGUGAGUAACACGUGGAUAACCUACCUAUAAGACUGGGAUAACUUCGGGAAACCGGAGCUAAUACCGGAUAAUAUUUUGAACCGCAUGGUUCAAAAGUGAAAGACGGUCUUGCUGUCACUUAUAGAUGGAUCCGCGCUGCAUUAGCUAGUUGGUAAGGUAACGGCUUACCAAGGCAACGAUGCAUAGCCGACCUGAGAGGGUGAUCGGCCACACUGGAACUGAGACACGGUCCAGACUCCUACGGGAGGCAGCAGUAGGGAAUCUUCCGCAAUGGGCGAAAGCCUGACGGAGCAACGCCGCGUGAGUGAUGAAGGUCUUCGGAUCGUAAAACUCUUUUAUUAGGGAAGAACAUAUGUGUAAGUAACUGUGCACAUCUUGACGGUACCUACUCAGAAAGCCACGGCUAACUACGUG